AACGAACGCUGGCGGCAUGCCUAACACAUGCAAGUCGAACGAGACCUUCGGGUCUAGUGGCGCACGGGUGCGUAACGCGUGGGAACCUGCCCUUAGGUUCGGAAUAACUCCCCGAAAGGGGUGCUAAUACCGGAUAAUGUCUUCGGACCAAAGAUUUAUCGCCUUUGGAUGGGCCCGCGUUGGAUUAGCUAGUUGGUAGGGUAAAAGCCUACCAAGGCGACGAUCCAUAGCUGGUCUGAGAGGAUGAUCAGCCACACUGGGACUGAGACACGGCCCAGACUCCUACGGGAGGCAGCAGUGGGGAAUAUUGGAAAACGGGCGAAAGCCUGAUCCAGCAAUGCCGCGUGAGUGAUGAAGGCCUUAGGGUUGUAAAGCUCUUUUACCCGGGAUGAUAAUGACAGUACCGGGAGAAUAAGCCCCGGCUAACUCCGUG
rnacentral:rRNA from 1 species